GUAGUUUGAUCUUGGCUCAGAUUGAACGCUAGCGGGAUGCCUUACACAUGCAAGUCGAACGGCAGCACGGACUUCGGUCUGGUGGCGAGUGGCGAACGGGUGAGUAAUGUAUCGGAACGUGCCUAGUAGCGGGGGAUAACUACGCGGAAGCGUAGCUAAUACCGCAUACGCCCUACGGGGAAAGCUAGGGGAUCGCAAGACCUUGAC
rnacentral:rRNA from 1 species